GAUAAACGCUGGCGGCGCACAUAAGACAUGCAAGUCGAACGGAAGUCGUUAUAAAAAGGAUUGAGGAUUUAUCUGAUUGAGAUUUUAUAACAAUGGCUUUAGUGGCGGACUGGUGAGUAACGCGUGAGCAACCUGCCUACUAGAGGGGAAUAACAGUGAGAAAUCAUUGCUAAUACCGCAUAUGCCAUGAACAUCACAUGAUGAAAGUGGGAAAAGAGUAAUCUGCUAGUAGAUGGGCUCGCGUCUGAUUAGAUAGUUGGUGGGGUAACGGCCUACCAAGUCGACGAUCAGUAGCCGGACUGAGAGGUUGAACGGCCACAUUGGGACUGAGAUACGGCCCAGACUCCUACGGGAGGCAGCAGUCGGGAAGUAUUGCGCAAUGGAGGAAACUCUGACGCAGUGACGCCGCGUAUAGGAAGAAGGUUUUCGGAUUGUAAACUAUUGUCGUUAGGGAAGAUACAAGACAGUACCUAAGGAGGAAG
rnacentral:rRNA from 1 species